GACGAACGCUGGCGGCGUGCUUAACACAUGCAAGUCGAACGGAAAGGCCCUGCUUUUGUGGGGUGCUCGAGUGGCGAACGGGUGAGUAACACGUGAGUAACCUGCCCUUGACUUUGGGAUAACUUCAGGAAACUGGGGCUAAUACCGGAUAGGAGCUCCUGCUGCAUGGUGGGGGUUGGAAAGUUUCGGCGGUUGGGGAUGGACUCGCGGCUUAUCAGCUUGUUUGUGGGGUAGUGGCUUACCAAGUCUUUGACGGGUAGCCGGCCUGAGAGGGUGACCGGCGACAUUGGGACUGCGAUACGGCCCAGACGCCUACGGGAGGCAGCAGUGGGGAAUAUGGCACAAUGGGCGGAAGCCUGAUGCAGCAACGCCGCGUGCGGGAUGACGGCCUUCGGGUUGUAAACCGCUUUCGCCUGUGACGAAGCGUGAGUGACGGUAAUGGGUAAAGAAGCACCGGCUAACUACGUG
rnacentral:rRNA from 1 species